CUCCCGAAGGAACCCUGCUUUGCUUGGAGGGGAGGAAAUGAACUGACGGGCGCUGGCUGCUGGCGUUCGAGCACCGGCUGUGGCUCAGUCGAAAAGGGCGCGGUUCUUGCCAGUUCACCUCCUCCAAAGCAGGUGACAAAAAAACAAAAAUCAACCAGCUGAUGGAGGGACACUGAUACCUACACAACAACCAUGAACAAUACUAGACAGACACACACUACCAUGUUGACACCACUUAGCCUUCAGCUGGUGUCUGGACGCACCCACCCCACCAUGGUGCCCUCUUGCGUCAUAAUCUAUGAGGACACCCCAAAUACACCUGUUUGUCCUGGACCGCAAUAUGGGUCAUCGAAUCUUCUUUCUGGUCUCGCCUAGUGAUGGCCUUGAUGUCGGAGCUGGGAUUGCCUAGCUGUAGCACCAGUCCUGCAAUGGUACCGACCCUGCUUGUCGUCUACCCUAUUUCCUGUCCGUCCGUCUGAUGGAUGUUGUUGGUCAACGCUAAAACAAGGUGGACAUCUAUGAUGGAGCAAGGGCCCCCACGUACCUUUUACUGAAACCUUCCUGGCCUAUGGAAGUUUUGUGUCAGGUAGCUGUCUGUCCGUCCGUCUAAGUCAAGCGUAUUGUCCUGUUUUAUGUAUGGGAAAAGGGCUCUGAUAGAGGGUACCUUUGGCGUUGUCGGCUGACCAACGCUGUGCUGUUAUCGCCUGGUUGGCUGAUGUUCCAACGUCGGGACAGUGGAGGUGGAGUUUUGGGUUUUUUAAGUAUUUACUUUCUUCGUUUUAUCUUAUUUAUUUACAGAUAACUUUAUUUUCUUUUCUUUUCAGGUUAAUGUUUUUUUUUCUCUUUUCAGGUAUCGUUUUCUUUUCAGGUGUUUAGUGUUUUCUUCCCUUACAGGUUUUUACGUUCCUGUCUUUUUCGCCUUCUAACAACUUUCAAUUUUUAUCGUCUUUUAUUUCUUUAAGCAUUUUAAUGUUUUUAAUUUCCUUAUAGGUUUUAACUUCAGGUGCUUUACUUUUAUCAACAAUUUUGUUCGGAUUUUAGCCAAUGUUAAUUAUUCAUUUCUUUCGUUUCAGGUGUUAAUAUCUCUUUCUUUUCAGUCUUUUCUAAAACUUAACACAGCCAUUAAAUAUUCUUCAAAGCUUGUUUUUUAGUGUUUAAUUUUAAGUUCUUUUAUUUGCUUUUUAUCAAUUAGACAAACAAACGCUUUGAUAUUCAAUAAAACAACACUUUUUCACCGCGGUU